GGUAAGAUGGCCGAGUGGUUAAGGCGGUCGAUUUAAGAGCUCAGCUUAGACUCCCACUGGUGAAUACCGCGUGGGUUCAAUCCCCACUCUUACCA